rnacentral:rRNA from 1 species
AAAACUCUAAGCGGUGGAUCACUCGGCUCAUGGGUCGAUGAAGAACGCAGCAAACUGUGCGUCAUCGUGUGAACUGCAGGACACAUGAACAUCGACAUUUUGAACGCAUAUCGCAGUCCAUGCUGUUAUGUACUUUAAUUAAUUUUAUAGUGCUGCUUGGACUACAUAUGGUUGAGGGUUGUAAGACUAUGCUAAUUAAGUUGCUUAUAAAUUUUUAUAAGCAUAUGGUAUAUUAUUGGAUAAAUAUAAUAAUUUUUAUUCAUAAUAUUAAAAAAUAAAUGAAAAACAUUAUCUCACAUUUGAAUGUGAAAAACGAAGAGAAAUAUUUUCUUUUUCAAUCAAAUAAUACUGAGAAAUGUCUAGCAUAAAAAAUUGAAAUAUUUUUCAUCUAGAAUUGUCUCUUAUUAAUGAUUCGGAAAUAGAAAAAUCUUGGUUAUGUUAUUAUUCUUCGUUGGUUCGUUAAAAAUGGAUAAAUAAAAACUUUGCAUACAAGAAUUAAUAAAAAUGUUAUAACGAAUUUAAUUAAAUGUUUUAUCAUUAUAUAUAAAGAAUUUAUGGCAAGAUAAAGUUAUAUACAACCUCAACUCAUAUGGGACUACCCCCUGAAUUUAAGCAUAUUAAUUAGGGGAGGAAAAGAAACUAACAAGGAUUUUCUUAGUAGCGGCGAGCGAAAAGAAAACAGUUCAGCACUAAGUCACUUUGUCUAUAUGGCAAAUGUGAGAUGCAGUGUAUGGAGCGUCAAUAUUCUAGUAUGAGAAAUUAACGAUUUAAGUCCUUCUUAAAUGAGGCCAUUUACCCAUAGAGGGUGCCAGGCCCGUAUAACGUUAAUGAUUACUAGAUGAUGUUUCCAAAGAGUCGUGUUGCUUGAUAGUGCAGCACUAAGUGGGUGGUAAACUCCAUCUAAAACUAAAUAUAACCAUGAGACCGAUAGUAAACAAGUACCGUGAGGGAAAGUUGAAAAGAACUCUGAAUAGAGAGUUAAACAGUACGUGAAACUGCUUAGAGGUUAAGCCCGAUGAACCUGAAUAUCCGUUAUGGAAAAUUCAUCAUUAAAAUUGUAAUAUUUAAAUAAUAUUAUGAGAAUAGUGUGCAUUUUUUCCAUAUAAGGACAUUGUAAUCUAUUAGCAUAUACCAAAUUUAUCAUAAAAUAUAACUUAUAGUUUAUUCCAAUUAAAUUGCUUGCAUUUUAACACAGAAUAAAUGUUAUUAAUUUGAUAAAGUGCUGAUAGAUUUAUAUGAUUACAGUGCGUUAAUUUUUCGGAAUUAUAUAAUGGCAUAAUUAUCAUUGAUUUUUGUGUUUAUUAUAUGCACUUGUAUGAUUAACAAUGCGAAAGAUUCAGGAUACCUUCGGGACCCGUCUUGAAACACGGACCAAGGAGUCUAACAUAUGUGCAAGUUAUUGGGAUAUAAACCUAAUAGCGUAAUUAACUUGACUAAUAAUGGGAUUAGUUUUUUAGCUAUUUAUAGCUAAUUAACACAAUCCCGGGGCGUUCUAUAUAGUUAUGUAUAAUGUAUAUUUAUAUUAUUUAUGCCUCUAACUGGAACGUACCUUGAGCAUAUAUGCUGUGACCCGAAAGAUGGUGAACUAUACUUGAUCAGGUUGAAGUCAGGGGAAACCCUGAUGGAAGACCGAAACAGUUCUGACGUGCAAAUCGAUUGUCAGAAUUGAGUAUAGGGGCGAAAGACCAAUCGAACCAUCUAGUAGCUGGUUCCUUCCGAAGUUUCCCUCAGGAUAGCUGGUGCAUUUUAAUAUUAUAUAAAAUAAUCUUAUCUGGUAAAGCGAAUGAUUAGAGGCCUUAGGGUCGAAACGAUCUUAACCUAUUCUCAAACUUUAAAUGGGUAAGAACCUUAACUUUCUUGAUAUGAAGUUCAAGGUUAUGAUAUAAUGUGCCCAGUGGGCCACUUUUGGUAAGCAGAACUGGCGCUGUGGGAUGAACCAAACGUAAUGUUACGGUGCCCAAAUUAACAACUCAUGCAGAUACCAUGAAAGGCGUUGGUUGCUUAAAACAGCAGGACGGUGAUCAUGGAAGUCGAAAUCCGCUAAGGAGUGUGUAACAACUCACCUGCCGAAGCAACUAGCCCUUAAAAUGGAUGGCGCUUAAGUUGUAUACCUAUACAUUACCGCUAAAGUAGAUGAUUUAUAUUACUUGUGAUAUAAAUUUUGAAACUUUAGUGAGUAGGAAGGUACAAUGGUAUGCGUAGAAGUGUUUGGCGUAAGCCUGCAUGGAGCUGCCAUUGGUACAGAUCUUGGUGGUAGUAGCAAAUAAUCGAAUGAGACCUUGGAGGACUGAAGUGGAGAAGGGUUUCGUGUGAACAGUGGUUGAUCACGAGUUAGUCGGUCCUAAGUUCAAGGCGAAAGCCGAAAAUUUUCAAGUAAAACAAAAAUGCCUAACUAUAUAAACAAAGCGAAUUAUAAUACACUUGAAUAAUUUUGAACGAAAGGGAAUACGGUUCCAAUUCCGUAACCUGUUGAGUAUCCGUUUGUUAUUAAAUAUGGGCCUCGUGCUCAUCCUGGCAACAGGAACGACCAUAAAGAAGCCGUCGAGAGAUAUCGGAAGAGUUUUCUUUUCUGUUUUAUAGCCGUACUACCAUGGAAGUCUUUCGCAGAGAGAUAUGGUAGAUGGGCUAGAAGAGCAUGACAUAUACUGUUGUGUCGAUAUUUUCUCCUCGGACCUUGAAAAUUUAUGGUGGGGACACGCAAACUUCUCAACAGGCCGUACCAAUAUCCGCAGCUGGUCUCCAAGGUGAAGAGUCUCUAGUCGAUAGAAUAAUGUAGGUAAGGGAAGUCGGCAAAUUAGAUCCGUAACUUCGGGAUAAGGAUUGGCUCUGAAGAUUGAGAUAGUCGGGCUUGAUUGGGAAACAAUAACAUGGUUUAUGUGCUCGUUCUGGGUAAAUAGAGUUUCUAGCAUUUAUGUUAGUUACUUGUUCCCCGGAUAGUUUAGUUACGUAGCCAAUUGUGGAACUUUCUUGCUAAAAUUUUUAAGAAUACUAUUUGGGUUAAACCAAUUAGUUCUUAUUAAUUAUAACGAUUAUCAAUUAACAAUCAAUUCAGAACUGGCACGGACUUGGGGAAUCCGACUGUCUAAUUAAAACAAAGCAUUGUGAUGGCCCUAGCGGGUGUUGACACAAUGUGAUUUCUGCCCAGUGCUCUGAAUGUCAAAGUGAAGAAAUUCAAGUAAGCGCGGGUCAACGGCGGGAGUAACUAUGACUCUCUUAAGGACUCACGGAGUCCGCUACCAUCAACUGAGAGGUACAACUUGUUCGCCCAAUAUUUUUCUAUUGCCGGACGCGAUAACAGUUCAUUUUGUUCAGCUAAUAAUCUAUCUCGGGCCCGUUGUUUUUCGGCUUCGAGGAAAGAGCUGGCUACCUCGUUUUGCGUGAGGUGAGGCCAUUUAAUGUUACUCAAGCGUCUUAGCCUUAACAUUGGAGCUACCCAUCUUAGUGAUGGAAUUCCGAGACCUCCACUUUUUGGGGGUGCAUGAACAAAUGCUAUCGGCACAUCCAGCGGAAGAUUUAGCCAUCUUCGCACAUAAUAUCUUAUAAGUUUAUCAGUUUUUCUUAGGACGCCUAUCGCCACACUCCCAAGGGCUAACUUGUGGUAGAGCUGUGGGAUAAGGACAGUCCGAAGGGCGAACAACCUCUGUUGUGGUUUGAGGGGGGCCUUUGUCAAUCUUUGUAGCUUUGGACCAAUGUCCUCGGCCGGAUUGCAUCGAACCCUCCCGGUUGCAGUGAAGUUGAUGCCUAAGUACUUCCACUCGUCCGUGCGCUUCAGUGAUGGAAUCUCACUCGAGCCUACGUAGAAGCUCUGUGCCUCUAACACGGUACACUUCUGUUUCGGCUGGCCCUUAAUGCCAACGGUAAAACAUUUGUCGGCAUUAAGUUUGAGGCCGACGAUAGAUAGAAAAUCCAACGUCUUGUCCAACAAUACUUGAAGCCCCAUCCGAGUUUC